AUCCGGCCGACGAAUCCCACAUAGGACGAAACGCGCGUCCCGGAU
rnacentral:hammerhead_ribozyme from 1 species